CCUGUAGUUGAAAAUAUAUUCUCUCUUGAGUGGAUCCUGAGUACGACGGAGCACGUGAAAUUCCGUCGGAAUCUGGGAGGACCAUCUCCUAAGGCUAAAUACUCUCUAGUGACCGAUAGUGAACCAGUACCGUGAGGGAAAGGUGAAAAGUACCCCGGAAGGGGAGUGAAAGAGAACUUGAAACCGUGUGCUUACAAGUAGUCAGAGCCCGUUAAUGGGUGAUGGCGUGCCUUUUGUAGAAUGAACCGGCGAGUUACGAUCUGAUGCAAGGUUAAGCAGAAAAUGUGGAGCCGUAGCGAAAGCGAGUCUGAAUAGGGCGUAUAGUAUUUGGUCGUAGACCCGAAACCAGGUGAUCUACCCAUGGUCAGGUUGAAGUUCAGGUAACACUGAAUGGAGGACCGAACCGACUUACGUUGAAAAGUGAGCGGAUGAACUGUGGGUAGCGGAGAAAUUCCAAUCGAACUUGGAGAUAGCUGGUUCUCUCCGAAAUAGCUUUAGGGCUAGCCUCAAGUGAUGAUUAUUGGAGGUAGAGCACUGUUUGGACGAGGGGCCCCUCUCGGGUUACCGAAUUCAGACAAACUCCGAAUGCCAAUUAAUUUAACUUGGGAGUCAGAACAUGGGUGAUAAGGUCCGUGUUCGAAAGGGAAACAGCCCAGACCACCAGCUAAGGUCCCAAAAUAUAUGUUAAGUGGAAAAGGAUGUGGCGUUGCCCAGACAACUAGGAUGUUGGCUUAGAAGCAGCCAUCAUUUAAAGAGUGCGUAAUAGCUCACUAGUCGAGUGACACUGCGCCGAAAAUGUACCGGGGCUAAACAUAUUACCGAAGCUGUGGAUUGUCCUUUGGACAAUGGUAGGAGAGCGUUCUAAGGGCGUUGAAGCAUGAUCGCAAGGACAUGUGGAGCGCUUAGAAGUGAGAAUGCCGGUGUGAGUAGCGAAAGACGGGUGAGAAUCCCGUCCACCGAUUGACUAAGGUUUCCAGAGGAAGGCUCGUCCGCUCUGGGUUAGUCGGGUCCUAAGCUGAGGCCGACAGGCGUAGGCGAUGGAUAACAGGUUGAUAUUCCUGUACCACCUAUAAUCGUUUUAAUCGAUGGGGGG
rnacentral:rRNA from 1 species